rnacentral:rRNA from 1 species
UACGAAGGAUCCAAGCGUUGUCCGGAUUUACUGGGCGUAAAGAGCGCGCAGGCGGUCGUUCAAGUCGAGUGUGAAAGCCCCCGGCUCAACUGGGGAGGGUCACUCGAUACUGAUCGACUUGAAGGCAGGAGAGGGAAGCGGAAUUCCCGGUGUAGUGGUGAAAUGCGUAGAUAUCGAGAGGAACACCGGUGGCGAAGGCGGCCUUCUGGACAGCCACUGACGCUGAGACGCGAAAGCGUGGGGAGCAAACAGG